rnacentral:rRNA from 1 species
GUAGUCCACGCCGUAAACGAUGAACACUAGGUGUGGGCGGAGUCGAAUCUGUCCGUGCCGCAGCCAACGCGUUAAGUGUUCCGCCUGGGGAGUACGGCCGCAAGGCUAAAACUCAAAAGAAUUGACGGGGGCCCGCACAAGCAGCGGAGCAUGUUCUUUAAUUCGAUGCAACGCGAAGAACCUUACCUGGGCUUGACAUGGUGGUCGUACCUGCGGAAACGUAGGGUCGGUUCGGCCGGACCAUCACAGAUGCUGCAUGGCUGUCGUCAGCUCGUGUCGUGAGAUGUUGGGUUAAG